rnacentral:rRNA from 1 species
UGGCGGCGUGCUUAACACAUGCAAGUCGAACGGAAAGGCCCUGCUUUGUGGGGUGCUCGAGUGGCGAACGGGUGAGUAACACGUGAGUAACCUGCCCUUGACUUUGGGAUAACUUCAGGAAACUGGGGCUAAUACCGGAUAGGAGCUCCUGCUGCAUGGUGGGGGUUGGAAAGUUUCGGCGGUUGGGGAUGGACUCGCGGCUUAUCAGCUUGUUGGUGGGGUAGUGGCUUACCAAGGCUUUGACGGGUAGCCGGCCUGAGAGGGUGACCGGCCACAUUGGGACUGAGAUACGGCCCAGACUCCUACGGGAGGCAGCAGUGGGGAAUAUUGCACAAUGGGCGGAAGCCUGAUGCAAGCAACGCCGCGUGCGGGAUGACGGCCUUCGGGCUGUAAACCGCUUUCGCCUGUGACGAAGCGUGAGUGACGGUAAUGGGUAAAGAAGCACCGGCUAACUACGUGCCAGCCGCCGC